rnacentral:rRNA from 1 species
CCUACGGGAGGCAGCAGUGGGGGAUAUUGCACAAUGGGGGGAACCCCGAUGCAGCGACGCCGCGUGGGUGAAGGAGCGUUUCGGCGCGUAAAGCUCUAUUGGCAGGGAAGAAGGAGGACGGUACCUGACCAAGAAGCCCCGGCUAACUAAGUGACAGCAGGCGCGGUAAUACGUAGGGGGCAAGCGUUAUCCGGAUUUACUGGGUGUAAAGGGGGCGCAGACGGCAGGGCAAGGCAGGGGUGAAAGCCCGGGGCCCAACCCCGGGACUGCACUUGGAACUGCGCGGCUGGAGUGCAGGAGGGGCAGGCGGAAUUCCUGGUGUAGCGGUGAAAUGCGUAGAUAUCAGGAGGAACACCGGUGGCGAAGGCGGCCUGCUGGACUGCAACUGACGUUGAGGCCCGAAAGCGUGGGGAGCAAACAGGAUUAGAUACCCGAGUAGUC